rnacentral:lncRNA from 1 species
GAACUCUGGGGGGAGCCAUCACUUUUCUCUCUUCUGUAUCAGCUUUCCCACUCACAUCUUAGUCUCGGGGAGAGAAGCUCAGAGCAGCCACCAAGAACUCUGUGGAAACCCUGUCUUUCUUAGAGACCCCUAUACUGACUCCCCCAGGAAUCCCUGCUGACUAGAUGAAGGCCAUAGAAAGGGUGCUGGAUUCUCUCAGACAGAGUUUGGUGCCUGGCUCCAUCACAGCUCAGUCAAGACAUCCUGGGGUCUCUCUGCAUAGCACUGUCUGUGCUGAAACUCUCUCCGUAUUCCUGGCUGACCUUGAACUCGGAGAACGACCUGCCUCUGCCUCCUGAGUGCUGAAAUCGAAAGCAGGUUCUGCCACCACCCAGCUUAGGAUGCCUGGUUUUAAAGCCCAAGGUCAGCACCUGGCCAGCCGAUCCCUGUCAUUCAGGCAACACUCAGCACGAAUUCCAGGAAGAGGUCCACCUCCACUGAGGAACCUUAGAGUCUGAACCUCCUCUGCAACGCUCAUCCCAGGGCAAGAAGAGCUCACCGAUUGAUCCCGAUCCAGCCCUGCCUCUAACUCCCUGAGGUCCUGGGUGGGCUUAUUCCCAGGUGAUGGUGUGUCUGUUUAAUAGAGCCCUACCAGCAGGAGAGAGAUCGAGCGGUAGAAUGUGACAGCCCAGUGACAACUGCAGACUCCACCUCCCUCCAUGUGCAAGGCUACAAACUUCCUUAAAAUAUCAGGAAGUUUGUGGAGGCAGAAGCCAUGGAUACAGGACUUGUCUCUUGCCUUCAGGAGCAAAGGGACCCAAGGCUCAUGUUGAAAGAUGUCCCUAGGGAACCAUGUGGCCUGAUUGCAGGACAGGGUUAUGCAGAAGCCCCACAUAGGAGACAUACUGUGGUCAGUGGCAUGACAUUGACAGAGAAGAAAGGAAAACACCUUCGAGGUCCUUUUAUGAAACUACUGGUGACCCCAGAGCCAGUCAGCACACCUAGGGGCCUCCCUUACCCAUGGGCUUUCUACAGGUGGGACCUGACAACACAAGCAAGCACUUUCCUCCAAUUUUAGGGUCAAGGCCAUGUGCUCUCUCUCUCUCUCUC